rnacentral:rRNA from 1 species
UAGCCGUAAACGAUACUCGCUAGGUGUCGGCCACGGUGCGACCGUUGUCGGUGCCGUAGGGAAGCCGUGAAGCGAGCCACCUGGGAAGUACGGCCGCAAGGCUGAAACUUAAAGGAAUUGGCGGGGAGGCACCACAAGAGGUGGAGGCUGCGGUUCAAUUGGACUCAACGCCGGAAACUACAUCGGGAGCGACAGCAGUAUGAUUGCCAGGUUGAUGACCUUGCUUGACAAGCUGAGAGGAGGUGCAUGGCGUAGUCGUGU